rnacentral:lncRNA from 1 species
GAGAAGUCAGGCCAGAUUAAGCCAUAGUACGGAAAGAGCUAUGCUGCCUGUGAGCCCCGUCCAAGGACGUAAAAUGAAGUCAGGCCGAAAGCCACGGAUUGAGCAAACCGUGCUGCCUGUGGCUCCAU